AAUCAACGCUGGCGGCGCGCCUAACACAUGCAAGUCGAACGAGAAAGCAGGAGCAAUCUUGUGAGUAAAGUGGCGUACGGGUGAGUAACACGUGGAUUAUCUACCUCUUUGUGGGGGAUAACCCCUGGGAAACCGGGGCUAAUACCGCAUAAGUCCGAGAGGAGAAAGCAGCAAUGCGCAGAGAGAGGAGUCCGCGGCCGAUUAGCUAGUUGGUAGGGUAAGAGCCUACCAAGGCGACGAUCGGUAGCCGGCCUGAGAGGGCACACGGCC
rnacentral:rRNA from 1 species